GAUGAACGCUGGCGGCAUGCCUUACACAUGCAAGUCGAACGGCAGCACGGGAGCAAUCCUGGUGGCGAGUGGCGAACGGGUGAGUAAUAUAUCGGAACGUGCCCAGUCGUGGGGAUAACGUAGCGAAAGCUACGCUAAUACCGCAUACGAUCUAUGGAUGAAAGCGGGGGAUCGCAAGACCUCGCGCGAUUGGAGCGGCCGAUAUCAGAUUAGGUAGUUGGUGAGGUAAUGGCUCACCAAGGCGACGAUCCGUAACUGGUCUGAGAGGAUGAUCAGUCACAUUGGGACUGAGACACGGCCCAAAACUCCUACGGGAGGCAGCAGUGGGGGAAUAUUGGACAAUGGGCGCAAGCCUGAUCCAGCCAUGCCGCGUGAGUGAUGAAGGCCCUAGGGUUGUUAAAAGGCUCUUUUC
rnacentral:rRNA from 1 species